CAGAUAUUUAAGUUUAUGGAUAACUGUGAGUCUCUGACAACAUUUGUAAAUACCUAGAAUGUGCUGAUUGAAGCUGAGAUGUUUAUCCAAUGUAAUGCCCAGAUAUCUGAAAUGCUCCACACUUUCAACCAUCUCUCGGUUAACGGUAAAACCGGAAAUAUGGAUCUACCACGAUUUCUCCAUGAUGUUUGGUGACAAAGUGUCUCAGAAGUUCCUGGCAAUGUGGUCAAUAUUCUUCAAGCCAAAAAUCAUUGCAGACUGCAAGACUCUUAAGAAUAUGGGCGAGCUGCUGUCAGGAACUGAACCUGAAUCUGAGGACUACAAUGGAUGGGACAGCGAUAUGUCCUCAAUCCUUUUGCAGCUGCAUCUGCUCCCUCUAACCUCAAGAGGCCAGAAAAAAAUAUCCAAGAUCAGUUCAGCUCAAGCAAUCAGCCAUCUUGUGAGCUGUCUUAAGGAAGGAGCCAGUGUGAAUACCUUCAUUGAGAGUGCUGACACAAGACAACCAUUUCUCCUCUGCAUCGGUGAGCGAAAGAAGGAUAUCCCAAAGUUCUACGUUAUUAUCGACCAAAAGGCGAUCCCAUGUAAGGCGCACACAUCAGUGGCAGCUUUUGAUGAACUGUUCAAAGCUCACUGUGUCUUCAGUUUCUCAUAUGAUGAAGCUCUUUGUGAUUUCUACACAUUUAUCCAAACCACUAUCUAUAACAUCGAUGUCGGAAGAGCAAUGGAGAGCCUGCGUGUUAAAGAAC
ensembl:lncRNA